CAGUGUGGCCAUACCACGUGGUUUGUGACGUCAUUUUGGCUAGCACGCUAAGCAGAAAUUUGUCAACAUUGGCCCCGCUUAGAAAUUUCAAAUCCACAUACACAUGAUGACGACCGAAGAGCGAUAUAUUUGUGCCAUAUGCGCCAGAGGGUUCAAGCACAGGCGAAAUAUGGUUUACCAUGAAAGAACACACGCUGGGAUGUUACCCUUUAACUGUUGCGGCGUUGGGUUUUCAUCAAGACGACAAUUACAAAGACACAGGUGCAAUGUACACGGUGACGGAAAAAACUAUCUUUGCCUUUAUUGUGGAAAAGAAUUCGCAACGAAAGUAGAUCUAGAUGCCCACUCGGCCCGGGAACAGCGCACUCGAGAGAUCGAGUGCGAGAUAUGCAACCACAAGGCCACAACACGGGCUCAUCUCCGAGAACAUCUCAAAACACACAGCGAGGAAAAAACACACGUUUGCCAUGUGUGCAAAGCCGCCUAUAAACAUAUAAGUUCACUGUAUAGGCACUAUGGGCAAAAGCACAAAUGACGUGUAUACAGUGGUUUUACCUGUUCGUGAUUUAUUUGUGAUUUACCCGUGAUUUAUUUGUGAUUUACCCGUGAUUGAAUUGUUGCGAUAAAAGCAUAAUCAUCAGAUCUCAAGCAUAAUUAACAUUUGAACCGUAUCUGUUUAUACCACGAUGUUUACUUGUUGCGUUUUUUUUACUUUUUAUUGUUUUUUUUAUAUGUUUUGUUAAUGCUACUGUUAUAUUAUAGCAGUUGUGAUUUGUAUUGUGAUUAAAAUGUAAUUUUAUAAUUGUGAUUAAUGCUUUAUAAUCAGUUCUCAAGCAUAAAUAACAUUUAAAUCGUAUAUGUUUAUACCACGAUGUGAACUUGUUGCGUUUCUUUUCUUUUUAU